rnacentral:rRNA from 1 species
UACGUAGGGGGCAAGCGUUGUCCGGAUUUAUUGGGCGUAAAGAGCGUGUAGGCGGCUAGAUAGGUCCGUUGUGAAAACUCGAGGCUCAACCUCGAGACGUCGAUGGAAACCAUCUGGCUAGAGUCCGGAAGAGGAGAGUGGAAUUCCUGGUGUAGCGGUGAAAUGCGCAGAUAUCAGGAAGAACACCGAUGGCGAAGGCAGGUCUCUGGGCCAUAACUGACGCUGAGACGCGAAAGCGUGGGGAGCAAACAGG